AAUGAAGUUCCUAUUUCAUUUGCUUGCCCUGGCUCUCCUCAUAACCUCCACAUUUUGUGGAGUCAAGGACUUCACUGAGCAUUUUGAAAGCCUUAAAGAUGCACAGUCACAUGAAAAUGGGACCUAUGAUAUGCCAAACUUCCCACCAGAGUUCCACAGAGAAAACACCAUCACUAACGACUUGAUUCCUGAAGAGGAGGAGGAAGAGGACUAUCUAGAUCUUGACAAGAUACUGGGUGAAGACGACUAUGGUGACAUUAUUGAUGCUGGCCCCUACAUGAUUUCUGAAAUUCAGCAAGGAAAUAUUCUUGAACUAUUCCAGGGGAAAACCAGAAUCCAGCGCCUCAAUAUCCUCAAUGCAAACUUUGGCUUCGACCUUUACCGCAGUGUGGCAGACAAAGCCAACUCUUCAGAUAACAUCCUCAUGGCUCCUGUUGGCAUUUCCACUGCAAUGGCCAUGCUUUCUCUGGGCCUGAAGGGCCAAACUCAGCAGGAAAUCUGUUCUUGGCUUUCAAGACUUCAUUAAUGCCAGCACCAAAUACGAGCUCAUGACUGUUCAUAAUCUCUUCCGCAAACUCACUCAUCGGCUCUUCAGGCGCAAUUUUGGUUACACGCUGAGGUCUGUCAAUGAUCUUUAUAUUCAGACGGACUUUUCUAUUCUGAAUGACUUCAGAAACAAUAUGAAAACAUACUACUUUGCUGAUGCCCAACCAGCUGAUUUUUCAGAUCCUAGCUUCAUAACUAAAACCAAUGAACGCAUCUUGAAGCUGACCAAGGGAUUAAUAAAGGAAGCUCUUGUCAAUGUAAACCCUGCAACACUGAUGAUGAUUCUUAACUGUCUUUACUUUAAAGGUAAGAAUAUCUGUUAUUUCAACCUUAGCAAUGGAUUUUCUCAGUUUGCAAUCCACUGCACACUUAUUAGAAAUCCCAGACUGAACUUCAAUCUAGUCUACAGUUCAAAAAAGCCUAGACUCCCUCAUCAAAAAAAUCUAUUAUUAGUCCAUUUUCAUGUUUCUGUAGCACACUGA